rnacentral:rRNA from 1 species
AUUGAACGCUGGCGGCAGGCCUAACACAUGCAAGUCGAACGGUAACAGGAAACAGCUUGCUGUUUCGCUGACGAGUGGCGGACGGGUGAGUAAUGUCUGGGAAACUGCCUGAUGGAGGGGGAUAACUACUGGAAACGGUAGCUAAUACCGCAUAACGUCGCAAGACCAAAGAGGGGGACCUUCGGGCCUCUUGCCAUCAGAUGUUCCCAGAUGGGAUUAGCUAGUAGGUGGGGUAACGGCUCACCUAGGCGACGAUCCCUAGCUGGUCUGAGAGGAUGACCAGCCACACUGGAACUGAGACACGGUCCAGACUCCUACGGGAGGCAGCAGUGGGGAAUAUUGCACAAUGGGCGCAAGCCUGAUGCAGCCAUGCCGCGUGUAUGAAGAAGGCCUUCGGGUUGUAAAGUACUUUCAGCGGGGAGGAAGGGAGUAAAGUUAAUACCUUUGCUCAUUGACGUUACCCGCAGAAGAAGCACCGGCUAACUCCGUG